AAAAAACAUAAAAUCUUGACUUUCUGGGUCCAGGUCAACAGGAGUUAAUGAGAAGACAAAGCAUGGAACUCGGGUAAGGAAGUGACCUGGUGAAUUCUCCUACUGUUAACCUGCUUGUGCACUUUCAUAAAGCACAAGUAAAGGUUCAAUGAUAUAAUUCAUGAGGAAUUUCUCAGAUUUUGAAUGUGCAGUAGAUAGUAGAUUACUGUUCAGAGAAAACUGAUGUGUUGUCAAUUUUGUCACUAUUAAUAUCAAGAAGAUAGUGACCCUGUCCUCCAGAAAUGCACAGGGGCAGGUAUAGAAAAAUAAACCAUCCAUCGCUAUAUUCACACUAUGUCCCAGGGGCUAGUGGCUGCCCUGGUUUCUGCAAUAUGUGAUUUUUAAUGUGGUACCACAGACUCAGACUGGUUUAUAAGAAGACAGCCAUACCCUAAGUGAUGAUGUACCUCUAUGUCCUGAUUUACAGAUGCAAGCUCAGAGAGGCAAGAUUGCACAGUGGCCUCAUGCCGGACACCAGGCCCUGGACUCCAGAUUUUCCAGGAGCCUAGGAUGCUUUUCAUCUUCUCUCAUCCCUCACAGCAUCUUCUCUUACGGUGAUGAACUCAAGUUCACAGACUUCAUCUUUUGCAGCCCUCAGCACCCUGUGAGGAGUGAGGGGCGAGGGUAGGGCCUGGGUGCUCCGCUCCUAGCCCCCGUGUGACCGAAUCGCAGGAUUUCCCAGACAGCUGACAUGCAGGCAGCCAUGUGCCCCAGCUGGCUCCAGGGGCUUGGGCCCAGCAGGCUCCUGGCGCCAACGUGGCCAGCUCCCGGGGCCCAGCUGGUCUCCGGAGGAGGAAAACAGAGACAAGCUGGUGCUCAAAUAUUUACCAGCAAACCAGUGGCAUUCACCCAUUUUCCUCAAGGCAGAAGAGACACUAGUCUCGCUGGGAUACACUCGAGCAGAAUCUGGAAAGACUUCAGAUUGAGUAAAUGCUGA
rnacentral:lncRNA from 10 species